UUUACUUAGCCACACGAUUUUUCCACAUUUUCUCUAUCUCACUUUUAUUCUCUCACAUUUUGAAUUUAGGGUUUCUGAAAAAGAGAGAAAACUCAUUUUCUUCUUUUAUUCCUUUUCCUCUUCUCUCAGUCUUCUUCUAUGCCUCCACACGUGUAUUUUGAUUUUGAAAUUUCUUUUCUAUUUAUCGACCAUUUUAUUUUAUUCAUCAAUGCCUCUUUUUUCUCUUCUGAUUUUGGAUGUUUAUUUUCGAUUAACAUCAGUUAGUUUUAUGUCUCUUUCUGUUUAUGCAGAUGAGCAUCAACAGGGACGACAAAUCGAGCAUGAAUGGUUGAUGAAGCUUUGACUCAUGUUCAUUAUCAAAUGAUAAGACCGUUGGUGGAGGUGGUGAUGCUUUCAACCCCUUCUUCACCGAGGCAGGUGAGGACGGGAACAUAUUGUCAACUUUUCAACCUAGAGCAACUCAUUAGCGACAAAGAAGAUGCCGCCAAUAACUUUGAUUACAAUGCUCUAAUACGUUUGCCAUGUUAUAAGAACAUUUCAUUUAUGACAAUGGUUUACCCUUCUUUUUUUGAGGUGGUUUAAAAUACAAAAUGUCUCUAUUGAAGAAAGAGAUGAUUUUAGUGUUA